AACGAACGCUGGCGGCGUGCCUAACACAUGCAAGUCGAGCGAGAAAGCCCGCAAGGGUGAGUACAGCGGCGCACGGGUGCGUAACACGUGGGUAAUCUGCCCUGGAGUCCGGAAUAACUCGCCGAAAGGCGUGCUAAUGCCGGAUGAGACCACGGGGGCUCCGGCCCCUGAGGGAAAAGGUGGCCUCUGCAUGCAAGCUAUCACUUCAGGAUGAGCCCGCGGCCCAUCAGCUCGUUGGCGGGGUAACGGCCCACCAAGGCUACGACGGGUAGCGGGUCUGAGAGGACGAUCAGCCACACUGGAACUGAGACACGGUCCGGACGCCUACGGGAGGCAGCAGUGGGGAAUCUUGCGCAAUGGGCGAAAGCCGGACGCAGCAACGCCGCGUGUGUGAUGAAGGUCUUCGGAUCGUAAAGCACUGUCGGGAGGGACGAAUAAGGGCCGGGCGAACAUCCCGGUCCGAUGACGGUACCUCCAAAGGAAGCACCGGCUAACUCUGUGCCAGCCGCCGCAGUAAGAC
rnacentral:rRNA from 1 species